rnacentral:rRNA from 1 species
CGGCAUCGUUUGAUAUUGAAAGCUCCGGCGGAUAUAGAUGGGGCACGCGCAAGAUUAGCUAGUUGGUGAGGUAACGGCUCACCAAGGCGAUGAUCUUUAGGGGGCCUGAGAGGGUGAACGGCCACAAGGGGACUGAGACACGGCCCUUUACUCCUACGGGAGGCAGCAGUGGGGAAUUUUGGACAAUGGACGGAAGUCUGACCCAGCCAUCCCGCGUGCAGGACGAAUGCCCUAUGGGUUGUAAACUGCUUUUGUUUGGGAAGAAAUGUAUUCUUUUAAGAGUAUUUGACGGUACCAGACGAAUAAGCACCGGCUAACUCCGUG